GGGAUAACUUCGGGAAACCGGAGCUAAUACCGGAUAACAUAUUGAACCGCGUGGUUCAGUAGUGAAAGGGGGUUUUGCUGUCCCUUAUAAAUGGAUCCGCGCCGUAUUACCUAGUUGGGAAGGUAACGGCUUACCAAGGCAACAAUACGUAGCCGACCUGAGAGGGGGAUCGGCCACCCGGGAACUGAAACACGGUCCAAACUCCUACGGGAGGCAGCAGUAGGGAAUCUUCCGCAAGGGGCGAAAGCCUGACGGAGCAACGCCGCGGGAGUGAUGAAGGUCUUCGAAUCGUAAAACUCUGUUAUCAGGGAAAAACAAAUGUGUAAGUAACUGUGCACCUCUUGACGGUACCUGAUCAAAAAGCCACGGCUAACUACGUGCCAGCAGCCGCGGUAAUACGUAGGUGGCAAGCGUUAUCCGAAAUUAUUGGGCGUAAAGCGCGCGUAGGCGGUUUUUUAAGUCUGAUGUGAAAGCCCCCGGCUCAACCGUGAAGGGUCAUUGG
rnacentral:rRNA from 1 species